rnacentral:lncRNA from 1 species
GUCAUCUCAGACUUCCUGUUUAAGCUUGAUGCAUUCUCUUAUAACUGCCUUAUGAUAUGUGAUAUUUGUUUGAUAUCGAAGAAAGGCAUGUGCCCGUAUUAUUUCUCUUAUAACUGCAGAUUUUAUGCUGUUCCAUUUUGUAUUUAGUCAAGUGAUGUAUGUUGUUGGUUUCUCUUAUAACUAAUUUGUUGUUGGUUUCUUUGUGGUGUAUUGAUUAUGGCUUGUUGUGCCACAUGACCAACAUGGAUUAUUUCGAUGUCUAAACCAUGUAUGGGGCUGAUCCUGACGGCGGCGGCCACAUCUUUCGCGCCUGGUCCAGCUGCGCCAUAUCAAGGUCUCCUCCCCUGCCCCUGUUCUUCUCCUUCUCUCUCUCCCUCUCAAUCCCCGAUGUGUUUUGAUUUGGUAGGGUUGGUUCCCUCCCUGAUUGUGUGCAUCAUCAUGGUGUUUGCUUGUUGUUCUAAAAUUUCAACUGCAUGGCUACUAUUGGGUUGGCUUCUUAUAAGUUAUGAGAGAGAGUGAGAGUGUGGGCUUGGUCAGGGAGAUCUCUUUUAUUUAUUUGCUGGUACCUGAUAGUUUUUCAUGUUCCCUUGUGAGAUCUUAGUGAAAAUAAUGAUUUUAUUUGCUGUGCGUGCGGGCGGGUGCAGAGAAGAAGAACCUCAACUCGGAGCUCUUGUUUCUUCUCAGUAUAUAUGUACAUAUUAUAAAUAUAAUAAAUAUACGUGUCUUUUUUUCCUCUUUCUCUCCUCUGGUUUUACCGCCGAACUGGGUGGCCUUGAUGAAUGAUGUUGGCUUAUUUUAGAGAAAAUCUUUCUAAAUAAAUACUGGAUAAGUGAUGUUGGUUUAUUUUAGAGAGAAUCUUUCUAAGUAAAUAUACACUGAAGAGAGGUUUCAAUUUCCUAAUAGUACAUGUUCAAAUUGUUGUUGUAUGUGACCUUAGAUAGAAGGAUGUGCACUUGUGAUUAUCCCUUUCCCUUUUUGUAUCAGAGCUUUGUGCCAAAAAACUGCUUUGGUGCCGAGACAAUUACCUUGCAACAUUAAUCUUGGCUGAAAUUGUGCAUCUUUACUAGAUCAAUCAUGUUUGUCAGUGUUAAAUAACUAGGCACAUAAUAAGAUGAGAUCAUAGUGUAAUCAAGUUUUGUGCCUAAAGAAAAUCUUGGAGGAUAUCUAUGUAUAGUAGGCUUAUUAUGUUUUCUGGGUGCCUUGUAGAAUACUAAGAUAAAAUAAAUUUAAUUUCAUUUUUUAUAUUCUUUUAUGUUAAAGAGGCUACAUUGUAUCCAGAUCACUUAAUAUUAUCCGAAGUGAUUCUCUUUCAUACAGACCAAAUUAGUUCCUCGCUGUUAAUGAGACGCACUAUUUGAAUAGUUUGCCUAACAUGACAUGUCCUUUAGCAGAUCCAUGCAUUGCAACAUGCAAGCAAAUCAAAUGAAGGAGUGUGGACAAAGUUAUAUAUCAAGCAAAUCGGAUGAAGGCGUGUGGACAAAGUUAUAUAUCUAACAGUCAACCAUGUAGUUUACUAUUAUGCACUACGAAAAACAGUGUAAAUAAGUUAUCUGAGACUAAUACUGCUAUGGCCUGCUUUUGGUUUCUAUCAUACCAAACCUUGCUUAGGUAUUUCAUGUCACAUUUUAUAACAAAUGCGCUGAUGGCAUGUAGAUAGGGCCAUUUUUUAGAUAUUUUACAGGGUGAUUACUGUUGUGAGUAUCUACCAACACCUACUCUUUGAGUAAUAUCAGAUAUAUUUCUAUCCUGAGAUAUAGAGUAAUAUCAUAUGUUAAUCGGAAAAGAGUUAUAUCAGGGGUUUGAUCAUUGAACUUUUUUUUAUUCCAUCCUGAUUAAGUUGUCCUGUACAUGUGUUAAACUUGCCUUUCUACUAAUGCAUAAUGCAGUUUGACCUUCCACUGCUUGGCCAUAUCGGUUGGACUGGCACCCUCGCGCCGAGGCGCGUUGCGAUCUAGUAAUCAUAUUGAGUCGAUCAAAGAAUGAGUAGUUAAACCGCCAUGUUAAUAUUUUUAUAUAUGGGAUUCAU